rnacentral:lncRNA from 1 species
UAGCUUAGAUUAGGUUGCAUGUAGUUGCAUUGUCAUUUUGAGCAUUUUGUUGGUCAAUGUAAUGAUCAAGCUUAUUUUGAGAUUUUAGACUCAUUGUAUCUUUCUUUAUGAAUGAAUGAAACUUGAAGUUUGUUUUCUUCUAUAUGUGCAAUAUAUCCUUUAUGAAUGGUGUAUGCUUUUUGAUAAUGACAAAAAAAGGGAGAAGAUUGAUUAAAAUUAUAAUUG